GCUUUCCGAAUCCGUGCUGAGAUUUCGUCAAACACCGACCCACCAGGGGUGAUGAAACUUCCGAGAUACGUGAAGUGGUCAAAGCA
rnacentral:pre_miRNA from 1 species